GGAAGUAAAAGUCGUACAAGGUUUCCGUAGGUGAACCUGCGGAAGGAUCAUUACUGAGUGAGGGCCCCUCGGGGUCCAACCUCCCACCCGUGUUUAACGAACCUUGUUGCUUCGGCGGGCCCGCCUCACGGCCGCCGGGGGGCAUCUGCCCCCGGGCCCGCGCCCGCCGAAGCCACCUGUGAACGCUGUCUGAAGUAUGCAGUCUGAGACAAUUAUUAAAUUAAUUAAAACUUUCAACAACGGAUCUCUUGGUUCCG
rnacentral:misc_RNA from 1 species